rnacentral:tRNA from 4 species
GCCCCCGUAGCUCAGAGGAUAGAGCGUCGGUUUCCUAAACCGUGCGUCGCAGGUUCGAGUCCUGCCGGGGGCGCCA